UUGAAAGGGAAACGAUUGAAGUCAGUCGUACCAGCGGGAAAUCAACCUUUCGGGUGGGAUUUUGGAGUUUUGAAGAGUGUUAAAACCUUUGAGAUUUCAAAAUGUUCGCUCUUUUGGUGUACUUUCUCGUAGGUAGGUUAACAUCGAUUUUGAUCAUCAUAAAAGGAUUGGAGGAAUGUAGCUUCGAUCUCGUAUUGAAGUGUUAUAGCCUUUGGUAAAUGUGAUGAUUAGGAUCGAGGAUUGCAACGAAUACCCUUUUGGGCUAUCCGCCUGAUCUCUGAUACGUGACCUUGGUAUUGAAAGCGUGCUUAUGAUAUUGAGGUAUUACGGUCAAAAGGUUAGAACGGAUUACAUUCGUUAAGGAUGUUGACGUA
rnacentral:rRNA from 1 species